rnacentral:rRNA from 1 species
GACGAACGCUGGCGGCGUGCUUAACACAUGCAAGUCGAACGGUAAGGCCCUUCGGGGUACACGAGUGGCGAACGGGUGAGGUAACACGUGGUGAUCUGCCCUGCACUUCGGGAUAAGCCUGGGAAACUGGGUCUAAUACCGGAUAGGACCAUGGACUUCACGGUUUGUGGUGGAAAGCUUUUGCGGUGUGGGGAUGGGGCCCGCGGCCUAUCAGCUUAUUGGUGGGGUAAUGGCCUACCAAGGCGACGACGGGUAGCCGGCCUGAGAGGGUGUCCGGCCACACUGGGACUGAGAUACGGCCCAGACUCCUACGGGAGGCAGCAGUGGGAAUAUUGCACAAUGGGCGCAAGCCUGAUGCAGCGACGCCGCGUGAGGGGAUGAC